UGUGUCUGAGAAGGGAUCUGAAGGA
rnacentral:piRNA from 1 species